rnacentral:lncRNA from 1 species
UUGAAGUCAUCACCCUCCCUUAUCACAAAAUUUGAAUUUUCCUCGUCCAGAUCAUGAUGUGAUUCCUCGAGCAAUGUCUCUGCAAAUUGAUCUUCCUUUGAGUUUGUUUUCUCUUCUUUAGCAGAUGGGUCUUGCAAGGAUUGCUCAAGCUUCACAGAAGUUUCAUCUGUUUCACACGUCCCUGCUGUUUCCACUUGAGCAACAUCAGGUUCAGUAUAGUUAGCCUUAAUUUCCGAUGCUGUAGUUGGCAUUACUUGUGCCACUUGAUGUUCA